rnacentral:rRNA from 1 species
AGGACGAACGCUGGCGGCGUGCUUAACACAUGCAAGUCGAGCGGAAAGGCCCUUCGGGGUACUCGAGCGGCGAACGGGUGAGUAACACGUGAGUAACCUGCCCUAGGCUUUGGGAUAACCCUCGGAAACGGGGGCUAAUACUGGAUAUUCCCGCGGGAUCGCAUGGUUUUGUGGGGAAAGGUUUUCCGGCUUGGGAUGGGCUCGCGGCCUAUCAGCUUGUUGGUGGGGUGAUGGCCUACCAAGGCGACGACGGGUAGCC